AGCUCGCAAUGUAAUAAAUAAAAAGUGCCUGUACCAUAACCGACACAGGUGGGUAGGUAGAGUAUACUAAGGGGCGCGAGAUAACUCUCUCUAAGGAACUCGGCAAAAUGACUCCGUAACUUCGGGAGAAGGAGUGCCUUAUUUAUAAGGUUGCAAUAACAAGAUCCAAGCAACUGUUUAUCAAAAACACAGGUCUCCGCUAAGUCGUAAGACGAUGUAUGGGGGCUGACGCCUGCCCAGUGCCAGAAGGUUAAAGAAGUUGGUUAGUGUAUGCGAAGCUGAUGACUGAAGCCCUGGUGAACGGCGGCCGUAACGAUAACGGUCCUAAGGUAGCGAAAUUCCUUGUCGGGUAAGUUCCGACCCGCACGAAAGGCGUAAUGAUUUGGAUACUGUCUCGGAGAGAGGCUCGGUGAAAUAGACUUGUCUGUGAAGAUGCGGACUACCUGCACCAGGACAGAAAGACCCUAUGAAGCUUUACUGUAACUUGAAAUUGGAAUUGGACUUUGCUUGCGCAGUAUAGGUGGGAAGCGUUGAAGAUAUUCUUGCGGGAGUAUUGGAGCUAUCAGUGAGAUACCACUCUUGUAAUGUUAGAUUUCUAACUUUGAACCAUAAUCUGGUCAAAGAACAGUUUCAGGUGGGCAGUUUGACUGGGGCGGUCGCCUCCCAAAUGGUAACGGAGGCGUACAAAGGUUUCCUCUGAACGGAUAGAAAUCGUAUCUAGAGUGUAAAGGCAUAAGGAAGCUUGACUGUGAGACCUACAAGUCGAGCAGGGACGAAAGUCGGUCUUAGUGAUCUGACGGUACUGAGUGGAAAGGCCGUCACUCAACGGAUAAAAGUUACUCUAGGAUAACAGGCUGAUCUCCCCCAAGAGUUCACAUCGACGGGGAGGUUUGGCACCUCGAUGUCGGCUCAUCGCAUCCUGGGGCGGUAGUACGUCCCAAGGGUUGGGCUGUUCGCCCAUGAAAGCGGUACGCGAGCUGGGUUCAGAACGUCGUGAGACAGUUCGGUCCAUAUCCGGUGUAGGCGUUAGAAUAUUGAGAGGAGCCUUCUUUAGUACGAGAGGACCGAGAAGGACACACCGCUGGUGUACCAGUUAUCGUGCCAACGGUAAACGCUGGGUAGCUAUGUGUGGAGUGGAUAACCGCUGAAAGCAUCUAAGUGGGAAGCCCACCUCAAGAUGAGUACUCUCACCAUAUUGGUUAAGGUCACGGGAAGAACACCCGUUGAUAGGCAUCAGGUGGAAGUGCAGUAAUGUAUGAAGCCGAAGUGUACUAACAGACCGAGGGCUUGACC
rnacentral:rRNA from 1 species